rnacentral:rRNA from 1 species
AGAGUUGAUCCUGGCUCAGAAUUGAACGCUGGCGGCAUGCUUUACACAUGCAAGUCGAACGGCAGCACGGGGGCAACCCUGGUGGCGAGUGGCGAACGGGUGAGUAAUACAUCGGAACGUAUCCUUGAGUGGGGGAUAACGCAGCGAAAGUUGUGCUAAUACCGCAUGAGCUCUGAGGAGGAAGUGGGGGACCGUAAGGCCUCACGCUGAAGGGGCGGCCGAUGUCCGAUUAGCUAGUUGGUGAGGUAAAGGCUCACCAAGGCUUCGAUCGGUAGCUGGUCUGAGAGGAUGAUCAGCCACACUGGGACUGAGACACGGCCCAGACUCCUACGGGAGGCAGCAGUGGGGAAUUUUGGACAAUGGGGGCAACCCUGAUCCAGCCAUGCCGCGUGAGUGAAGAAGGCCUUCGGGUUUGUAAAGCUCUUUCGUGAGGGAAGAAACGGCCAUAGUGAAUAGCUGUGGUUACUGACGGUACCUCAAGAAGUAAGCACCGGCUAACUACGUGCCAGCCGCCGCGGU